rnacentral:rRNA from 1 species
CCUACGGGAGGCAGCAGUGGGGAAUAUUGGACAAUGGGCGAAAGCCUGAUCCAGCAAUGCCGCGUGAGUGAUGAAGGCCUUAGGGUUGUAAAGCUCUUUUACCAGGGAUGAUAAUGACAGUACCUGGAGAAUAAGCUCCGGCUAACUCCGUGCCAGCAGCCGCGGUAAUACGGAGGGAGCUAGCGUUGUUCGGAAUUACUGGGCGUAAAGCGUACGUAGGCGGUUAUUCAAGUCAGAGGUGAAAGCCUGGAGCUCAACUCCAGAACUGCCUUUGAAACUAGAUAGCUAGAAUCUUGGAGAGGUGAGUGGAAUUCCGAGUGUAGAGGUGAAAUUCGUAGAUAUUCGGAAGAACACCAGUGGCGAAGGCGACUCACUGGACAAGUAUUGACGCUGAGGUACGAAAGCGUGGGGAGCAAACAGGAUUAGAUACCCUGGUAGUCCACGCCGUAAACGAUGAUAACUAGCUGUUCGGGCUCUACGAGCUUGAGUGGCGCAGCUAACGCAUUAAGUUAUCCGCCUGGGGAGUACGGUCGCAAGAUUAAAACUCAAAAGGAAUUGACCGGNUGAGACGNGCGAGACGACACGAGGAGAG